GGAAAUGUGUUAGCUUUUUCUCUCACUUAUUAGGGAUUAUUAGAUUUUAUGUCUUUCCCUUUCACUUGGAUAUUUUUGGAAUACACUCUUUUUCAUUAGCUAGGAUAAGAAUGGAGACGACGUGGGGUCAAAAUUAUUCCAAAGAAUGAAGGAAAAGAGAAGCAACAAUUUCUACAAUAACUCAACCCCCUCGCCUCCACUAAAUUAGCUUCCCAUGUGUUGCAAUGUAGGGGCAUAGAAAAUGAGCCAAAAUAUAGGUACUCUUUAAUUCAUUCAGAAUUUUAAUGAUAGAGUUCAAGAUAAUUUGAAUUAAGUUCACUCUUAAUUAUUUCAAGACUUCAUUCAUUUUAAGAAAAUUUUUAGUUGAGCUCAAUUUAAUCUUCAAUUCUUAUAUAUUUUAAGUCUUUUUUGUUGCAUUGAUAUAAUCUAUUUUAUAUCGUUUAGAAUUUAUCUAUCCAUUUGUAAUUAUUUUUUACGAGUUAAAAUUCAAAUUGUAGUUAUAAAAGUUAGAUAACAAAAGGUUAAAAUUAUUGAGAUUAAGAAUAUCAAAUUUGGCAGGUCUUGCUUAGAUUUUUAGUCCAUCAUAUUUGAGUCCAAAGUUAAGGGUGGGUCAAGAUCCAAUCCAGUUUUUAUUUCAAUUCAUUUUAAUAUAUCAAAUUUUAACCUAACCUGUUUAUUUGACAUCUAUGUUGCAAUGCAGAGAUUCAACACGUGUCCUAAAUACAAUUUAAUUGGACAAGCUUUAUCUAUGAUCAACUGUUUCGCUCUUUAGUCUUCUUCUUCUUUUCGCGAGUUUAAAAAAAAUUUCUCCAUUCAACUUUAGUAUGGUAAAUACUGGAGCUAAAUGUAACGAUCCUUAUAUAUACAUAUCUAAAGAGGUUUUUCAUUUGUGUUGGAUUGUAUAUUGAUUUGAUCAUUUGAUGAGUCUUUUCUGAAAUGAUUUUUUUAAUACUAGUAUAUGGGCACGUGUGUUGCGCGUUUACUCAUAACGAUAAAUAAAGUGAUAAACGUUUUUAGUGUAUAAACUAACUAAUAUAAGGGCAAUGCGCGAUUUAACUUUUAAAAAAAUGUUUGUAGUGUAUAGUUAACUUGAAGUUUUUUUUUUUUUCAUUUAGUCCUCUCUUUAUUAUAAUUUUGAUAUAGAAAUUUUAUAUUUGUUUUUAAAAGACAAAAUAAAGUAGCAAUAAUAAAGAUGGAGGCACAGUAUCUUAUGAAUAACUUCCUUAAAUUGUCUUUUUUUUCCUCAUAAAAUAGUAUAAAUGUCUCUCUUGUCUCAUAGAAUAGAGUAAAAAUAUUGAAAUUAAAUUAAUAGUUACACAAUAUAUACAUUUCAAGAAGAUAAAUGUUUGACAUUUAUUAGUACAAGACGAAAUUCUCAUUCUCAUUGAGUAGAUUGCAACUAAAUAAUUCAAAUUUAUAAAUAAGAAACUUAUUAGAAGGAAUAACUAGAGAUUAUAAGUGC
rnacentral:lncRNA from 1 species